AUCGCUUCUCGGCCUUUUGGCUAAGAUCAAGUGUAGUAUUACAAUGCAUUGUUUUGCUUCUCCUAUUUUAUUAUUAUUAUUAGUUGUUGUUGUUGUUAACCUGUUACUAUACAUAAUUAGUAAACCGUUUUAUCAUAUGCAUGCCUAUAUAGUCUAGACAGGCCUCG
rnacentral:snRNA from 1 species